GAUCUCGGUGCUCCGUUCCAUUCCUCUACAAUCGCACAGUGUGAGUUGUUCCACAUUCUCCCUGUCAAAAGAUCUUUCAAAUAGUUGAGGCAAGUCGUUUUCUAGCCGUUUUUAUGAGUCUUUCUGCGAACUCCUAUCCCCUUUUGGGUUUGAGCCCUUUUGAUAGGUUCUUCUCGAGCCCUAAAAUACCACCUCGUCGACACGUGCAUAACGGGUUUCAGGUCUUAAUAGUUGAUUGGAUGUGACCCAUGCCCAUAUGAGAGUUGUGUUUGGGAAAUGACGUCAUGUGGGCCUCGGGAUCAUGUCGAAUCCCGCCGACCUAGCCAAUCAUUGGAUCAUUAAGCCCUAGGAACCAUCUCAAUCGAAUCGCACCGUGAUCAAUGUGGUAGAAUCGAGAAAUCCUACCCCUAAGCGGCCCAGCCUUUGUAAUGGUUUGUCCAUGCAAAGGUGGAUGAUGUGUUCAUGGUUAUCAUCUCUAGUGUGUGAAAUCAAAACGUGUGAAUGUGUGGGCUGUUUACUCUAAUUAGAUGCCGUAUUCGUGAUCAAUUGUAAUAUGUGGACAUAUGGGCUGGUUCUUUUCUCAAGUAGUGUGCACACCGUGUGAAGCAUGCAAGUUGGGUAUUCGUUUAUCACAGAAGGUCAGCCCGUGUUUGUGUAAGUUUGCAAUAUCUAUUCUAAUUCCUUGUUCCAAUGGAGAUGAAUGAUGAUUCAAGAACUAGAUUCAUAAAUCCACCCGAUUUUGUAGGGAUCCAAAUAACCUCUAUUAAAUUAAAUGGAACAAAUUAUCUUCAGUGGUUAAAAUCCAUUUAAGUGUUUCUAACCACCAAGGGCAAAUUAAAAUAUUUGACUAUCGAAAAGCCCGACGAAAGUGCUAGUAUGUAUGAUCAAUGGAUCGAGGAAUUUAUGACAUGGUUGUGGAAAAGUAUGGAAACAUCCAUUAGUGCGAAUGUAAUGUUUUUGGAUACUGUAAAGGAAGUGUGGGAUGCAUUAUGAGAGAUGUAUUCCUCUGACAAAAAAAUAUCUCGAACGUAUCAGUUAUUUGAAGAAAUAUCUGAGUUUCGGCAAGGAGAUAAAUCACUAGGUAAAUAUUACUCUAAACUUGAAGGAAUGUCGAAUGUAGAUCAACCUUUUACUACUGACUUGGAGAAACAACAUCAUCAAUGAGAAAAAUUUCGUGUAGCCAAGUUUUUUUUAGGUUUGAAGCAUUAAUAUAAGCCAGUUCAUGCACAAAUGUUGGACGGUAAAGAUAUGCAAUAUCUGAAUGAGGUGUAUGCUCACCACCAACAUGUAUCUCUUAGCUCUUCAAGGAAAGACAACAACAACUCUGCUUUAGCCUUCUUUUUUGGCCGAAGCUGAGAUGGUGUCCGUGAUGGUAGAAGUAAUCAAGGUAGUCAUGGUGAAAUGGGGAGAGGUCGUGGACCUAGGAAGUUCUCCCAUUGUGGACUUAUUAACCAUUCUAUUGAAAAAUAUUGGGAUCUCCAUGAAAAGACAACAUCAACUAAUUAAGCAUCUUACGUUGGAGAGAGCAAUGGCCCACAUUCAGCUAGUUCUACUUCUGCAACUCAA